rnacentral:rRNA from 1 species
UACGGGGGGGGUAAGCGUUGUUCGGAAUUACUGGGCGUAAAGGGCUCGUAGGCGGCCAACUAAGUCAUACGUGAAAUCCCUCAGCUUAACUGGGGAACUGCGUGUGAUACUGGAUGGCUUGGAUUUGGGAGAGGGAUGCGGAAUUCCAGGUGUAGCGGUGAAAUGCGUAGAUAUCUGGAGGAACACCGGUGGCGAAGGCGGGUCUCUGGGCAGUAACUGACGCUGAGGAGCGAAAGCGUGGGGAGCGAACAGG